rnacentral:rRNA from 1 species
CCUACGGGAGGCAGCAGUGGGGAAUCUUGCGCAAUGGCCGAGAGGCUGACGCAGCGACGCCGCGUGGGGGAUGAAGCAUUUCGGUGUGUAAACCCCUGUUGCUCGGGACGAACGACCGGUUUCGACCGGUGUGACGGUACCGAGUGAGGAAGCACCGGCUAACUCCGUGCCAGCAGCCGCGGUAAUACGGAGGGUGCGAGCGUUGUCCGGAAUCACUGGGCGUAAAGGGCGCGUAGGUGGUUAGAUGCGCCGGUGGUGAAAGCGCAGGGCUCAACCCUGCGUCGGCCAUCGGGACGGUCUGACUGGAGCACUGUAGAGGCAGGUGGAAUUCCGGGUGUAGCGGUGGAAUGCGUAGAGAUCCGGAAGAACACCGGUGGCGAAGGCGGCCUGCUGGGCAGUUGCUGACACUGAGGCGCGACAGCGUGGGGAGCAAACAGGAUUAGAUACCCUGGUAGUCCACGCCGUAAACGAUGGGCACUAGGUGCUUGGGGGAGCGACCCCCUGAGUGCCGACGCUAACGCAUUAAGUGCCCCGCCUGGGGAGGACGACCGCGAAGGUAGUAACGUUACAAGUAGAGUUAGAGGCGNGNGAGNGCGACGGACGACGACGAGGGAGGAGG